UUUCUACCGGCAUGCAAGAGCGAAGGCAUCUUAUGUUUUCUGCUGUCAUCCAUGAAACAGCAACAGGCCCCAGACCCUUCACCGAUCCUGAAACUAGUCAUCUACCUAUGAGAAUCUUGAUGUUAUUGGAUGAUUUUCACCUCCUUAUGCCUUCCUCCCAUGAAAGAAAGCUGAGAAAGAGGAUGAGUCAAGUAACAUAAUAAACUUCUGAGAAGGCUGAUACCACCUACAAUGACCAGGUGGAAGGAUGGACUAACUGACAUGAACACAUGGAAGGAAAGUCAAAGAGUGGAGCUAAGAAAACUUGUGCUGCAGAGAAAUUUGUUUUCACCAAAUGAAAAUUAAAGUGCAACCCAAAA